rnacentral:rRNA from 1 species
AUUGAACGCUGGCGGCAGGCCUAACACAUGCAAGUCGAGCGAGAAAGGCCCUUCGGGGCUGAGUAGAGCGGCGGACGGGUGAGUAACGCGUAGGAAUCUACCCAGUGGUGGGGGACAACUUGGGGAAACUCAAGCUAAUACCGCAUACGCCCUACGGGGGAAAGCGGGGGACCUUCGGGCCUCGCGCCAUUGGAUGAGCCUGCGUUGGAUUAGCUAGUUGGUGGGGUAAAGGCCCACCAAGGCGACGAUCCAUAGCUGGUCUGAGAGGAUGAUCAGCCACACUGGGACUGAGACACGGCCCAGACUCCUACGGGAGGCAGCAGUGGGGAAUAUUGCGCAAUGGGGGCAACCCUGACGCAGCCAUGCCGCGUGUGUGAAGAAGGCCUUCGGGUUGUAAAGCACUUUCACUUGGGAAGAAAAGCUGACGGUUAAUACCCGUGAGCCGUGACAUUACCUUGAGAAGAAGCACCGGCUAACUCCGUGCCAGCAGCCGCGGUAAUACGGAGGGUGCGAGCGUUAAUCGGAAUUACUGGGCGUAAAGCGCGCGUAGGUGGUUUGUUAAGUCGGAUGUGAAAGCCCCGGGCUCAACCUGGGAACUGCACCCGAUACUGGCCGACUAGAGUGCGGGAGAGGGAGGUAGAAUUCCACGUGUAGCGGUGAAAUGCGUAGAUAUGUGGAGGAAUACCGGUGGC